rnacentral:rRNA from 1 species
ACUCCUACGGGAGGCAGCAGUAGGGAAUCUUCGGCAAUGGGGCAACCCUGACCGAGCAACGCCGCGUGAGUGAAGAAGGUUUUCGGAUCGUAAAGCUCUGUUGUAAGUCAAGAACGAGUGUGAGAGUGGAAAGUUCACACUGUGACGGUAGCUUACCAGAAAGGGACGGCUAACUACGUGCCAGCAGCCGCGGUAAUACGUAGGUCCCGAGCGUUGUCCGGAUUUAUUGGGCGUAAAGCGAGCGCAGGCGGUUUGAUAAGUCUGAAGUUAAAGGCUGUGGCUCAACCCAUAGUUCGCUUUGGAAACUGUCAAACUUGAGUGCAGAAGGGGAGAGUGGAAUUCCAUGUGUAGCGGUGAAUGCGUAGAUAUAUGGAGGAACACCGGUGGCGAAAGCGGCUCUCUCGGUCUGUAACUGACGCUGAGGCUCGAAAGCGU